AGCUAAAAGAAGAAUUAGAAGAAAGCUGCAUGAAUAAAGAUGGGAUCCUUCAUGAUACAGAAAAGACCUCAGCAGAGCAGUACGAAAGAGAAGCAGCUAAGAGGGAAAAGGAUUCUCUUGAGCAAAAGAUUAAAGAGCUGCUACAAAUGUUAGAGAACCAAGAAAGAGCCUUCAAGAUAUUUAGAGUCAAAAUCACCAGCAAGAUGAGAGAAAGAGACAAGCUUCUGAGAAGGAUGAACAAGAGGAUUGAGAGGCUGGAGAUCUUAAGAAAGAUAAGGGAAGAACAAGAGGAAUACUACAUGAAGAAAGAGGAGCAGAUCAAAAGAGAGGCAAGUGAGAGGGAAAAAGACCCUUCUGAGCGAAAGGUUAAAGAGCUGCAGAGACAGUUGGAGAACCAAAAGAGAGUUUUGGAGAGAUUAACAGCCAGAGUGAGAAAGGAGAUAAGAGAAAGAGAGAAGACCUCAGCAGAAGAGUGGGCCAGAGGAGAGGCAACUGAGAGGGAAAAGGAACCUCUUGAACAAAAGGCUAAAGAAUUACAGUCAAAGAUGGAGGGCGACAGAAGUGCCAUCUUGAAGGAAGUUAGACUCAAAACGACAAAGAUGAGAGAAAGAGAAAACCUUCUAAGAAGGAUGAACGAGAGGUUUGAGAUGUUGGAGAUCUUGGGGAUGAUAAAGGACGAGCUAGGGGAAUGCUGCAAGAAGACAGAUGAGCUUUGUAAUGCAGCCAAGACCUUGGCAGAAUGCACUAAAGGAGAGCCAUCUGAGAGGGAAAAGGAGCUUCUUGAGCAAAUGGUUAAAGAAUUGCAGCAAAAGUUGGAGGACCGAGAAAAACCUUCGAGAGAUUUAGAGACAAACUCACAAAGGAAAUGAGAGAAAGAGACGACCUUCUGAGAAAGAUGAAUGAGAGGAUUCAGAUGCUGGAAGUAUGUCUGGUCUGGGUCUGGGCAGUGACUUUGGAACAAAGCCUGAGCCCUCAGGAAGGGGUGGGUGGAAAUUAAAGCAUAAUCACAGAGAGAAGAACUAUUCUCUUUUGCUUUCAAUUCACUAGAAGCUCUGGGAUUGUAAUGGCUUAUAUCCAGUCAUUUGGGUUCAGUUCACAGUUUUUGAAGAGUCCCUGAGGACCUUGGUAUCUCAAACAUUUAUAGAAUAUAAAUAACUUUUCCAAGCCUUGUGCUGCUGUUUUGAGAGAUUCCUGGUUGAUCUCAUGGAAUCAGUAUUAAAUGGGGCUCCCAGGUUUAACAAGUAGACAUUCUGAGUAUGUUUAAGGCAAGUAGGAUAAGUUACUGAAAUAGUACCUCAUCAUUUUCUUAACAGUUGACACAGAUUUAGUGCUAUUCAUUGUAGGGGAUCCUGAUUUCUCUGAAAGAGUUCUAAUAGACUAUAAUAUUCUAUUCCAAACUGAAGCACUUUCUCUGGACAUCUGUCUGACCUCUGAAGCAAUGUCAGUACAGAUGUCUUCCUUGACUAAACACUUGCAUAAUUUCCUUAUAUGCUUAGAAAAGACAAGUUAUUUUGAGAUUGUUACUUUUACUGUGUACUUACUCCCAUUCAGAGCAAAUCAAGCUCCUCUGCAGAGCUUCUCCUACCAAAGCUUUCUUUAUCUUUAUUAUGCUUUUAGUUGUAUUGCUGUUAUUCAUGCACUAUAGAUAGAAUCUGAGGAAGCUACAGCUGUGAGGAACUAUAGACAUUAUAUUAAAAUCCCUACAUUUCACCUAGAAACUCAAGGAAUAAAGAUACUUACCAGUAUGUCUUAUAGUAUUUCAGCACUUUUUUUCUGAGAUGCAGAGAUUCAGGUUUAUUUAAACAGUUUCAUAGAGAUGUAAUUCACAAGCCAUAGAUUUCACGGAUUUGAAUGUACAACUAUAUUUAAUUAAAUGUACAUGUAUGAUUGAUACAAAUUUACCAAAGUAUGUAUAGUGAUUUCACUUGGGAAUGUGCUUUAUGGAAUGUUCCUGGAAGACCAAGAAAGGGUCUCUGAGGAAUUAGGAGUCAAAAAGACAGAGAAGCAAAGAGAAAGAGAAAAGACCUCAGCAGGUAUAGGGUAGACUCAGCUCAUGGUAGGGUGGGUUCCUGCAGUGCCCUCUAUGACUCCAACAGGAGGAACUUCCAGAAAUAGAGCUUCCUCUCCUUCUGUGAACACACUCUGCUACAUCUGAAAAUAACAAGGUGAAUUGUGGUUAGAGGUCCAACCAAUCAUCCCCUUUUCUAGCACAUUCUCGCACCUGCCCUUAUGUGUGGUCACAGGUGAAUUUAGACAUGUCCAUCUGCUUUGCCCAGACAGUUUGGUUACUCAGAAAGCAAGGGUUGUUGGUUGUGGGCUUGUAGCUCUCAGUGCUGACUGUUGUUUUCUUCUCUUCUCUCUCUAAAAUCUUCCGGGAGCAGAAAUGCUGGCCCAAUGGGAGGAUGCUAUGUGGGAAAAGAAGCU
rnacentral:lncRNA from 1 species